rnacentral:rRNA from 1 species
AGAGUUUGAUCCUGGCUCAGGAUGAACGCUAGCUACAGGCUUAACACAUGCAAGUCGAGGGGAAACGACAUCGAAAGCUUGCUUUCGGUGGGCGUCGACCGGCGCACGGGUGAGUAACGCGUAUCCAACCUGCCCACCACUUGGGGAUAACCUUGCGAAAGUAAGACUAAUACCCAAUGAUAUCUCUAGAAGACAUCUGAAAGAGAUUAAAGAUUUAUCGGUGAUGGAUGGGGAUGCGUCUGAUUAGCUUGUUGGCGGGGUAACGGCCCACCAAGGCAACGAUCAGUAGGGGUUCUGAGAGGAAGGUCCCCCACAUUGGAACUGAGACACGGUCCAAACUCCUACGGGAGGCAGCAGUGAGGAAUAUUGGUCAAUGGACGAGAGUCUGAACCAGCCAAGUAGCGUGCAGGAUGACGGCCCUAUGGGUUGUAAACUGCUUUUAUAAGGGAAUAAAGUGAGUCUCGUGAGACUUUUUGCAUGUACCUUAUGAAUAAGGACCGGCUAAUUCCGUGCCAGCAGCCGCGGUAAUACGGAAGGUCCGGGCGUUAUCCGGAUUUAUUGGGUUUAAAGGGAGCGUAGGCCGGAGAUUAAGCGUGUUGUGAAAUGUAGACGCUCAACGUCUGCACUGCAGCGCGAACUGGUUUCCUUGAGUACGCACAAAGUGGGCGGAAUUCGUGGUGUAGCGGUGAAAUGCUUAGAUAUCACGAAGAACUCCGAUUGCGAAGGCAGCUCACUGGAGCGCAACUGACGCUGAAGCUCGAAAGUGCGGGUAUCGAACAGGAUUAGAUACCCUGGUAGUCCGCACGGUAAACGAUGGAUGCCCGCUGUUGGUCUGAAUAGGUCAGCGGCCAAGCGAAAGCAUUAAGCAUCCCACCUGGGGAGUACGCCGGCAACGGUGAAACUCAAAGGAAUUGACGGGGGCCCGCACAAGCGGAGGAACAUGUGGUUUAA